GACGAACGCUGGCGGCGUGCCUAAUACAUGCAAGUAGAACGCACAGUUUAUACCGUAGCUUGCUACACCAUAGACUGUGAGUUGCGAACGGGUGAGUAACGCGUAGGUAACCUGCCUGGUAGCGGGGGAUAACUAUUGGAAACGAUAGCUAAUACCGCAUAAUAUUGAUUAUUGCAUGAUAAUUGAUUGAAAGAUGCUAUUGCAUCACUACCAGAUGGACCUGCGUUGUAUUAGCUAGUAGGUGAGGUAACGGCUCACCUAGGCGACGAUACAUAGCCGACCUGAGGGGGUGAUGGGCCAACCUGGGAAUGAGAAACGGCCAAGACUCCUACGGGAGGCAGCAGUAGGGAAACUUCGGAAAGGGAAGAAAGUCUGACCGAGCAACGCCGCGUGAGUGAAAAAGGUUUUCGGAUCGAAAAGCUCUGUUGUAAGGGAAGAACGGUUGGGAGAGGGGAAAGUUCACACUGUGACGGUAUUUUACCAGAAAGGGACGGCUAAAUACGG
rnacentral:rRNA from 1 species